rnacentral:rRNA from 1 species
UACGUAGGUGGCAAGCGUUAUCCGGAAUUAUUGGGCGUAAAGAGCGCGCAGGUGGUUGAUUAAGUCUGAUGUGAAAGCCCACGGCUUAACCGUGGAGGGUCAUUGGAAACUGGCCGACUUGAGUGCAGAAGAGGGAAGUGGAAUUCCAUGUGUAGCGGUGAAAUGCGUAGAAAUCAGGAGGAACACCAGUGGCGAAGGCGACUGCCUGGACUGACCCUGACGCUGAGGUGCGAAAGCGUGGGUAGCAAACAGGAUUAGAUA